rnacentral:lncRNA from 1 species
GCAGCAUAUGGAGGUUCCCAGGCUAGGGGUCAAAUCGGACCUGUAGCCCCCUGCCUACACCAGAGCCACAGCAACGCGGGAUCUGAGCCGCGUCUGUGACCUACACCACAGCUCACGGCAAUGCCGGAUCCUUAACCCACUGAGCAAGGGCAGGGAUCGAACCCGCAACCUCAUGGUUCCUGGUCGGAUAGGUUAACCACUGUACCAUGACGACGGGAACUCCUGUCACAUUUUUAAUUAAUUCCAUCAAAUGUCUCCUAAUCAGAAGCAUUCUACCCAGAUUCUUCACCUCUAACAACAUUCCCCCAAUAACAGCCCCACACAGAACUAUGCCUCACUACCUAAAAUGAACAUCCCUCCUUAUAACCGUCACGAGCUUUCUUCUAGCAUUUUAUGACUAUGAAGAAAAUUAUGACAAAGGCAUGGGCUGUGACAAUUACAUGACAAAUCUGAGCAUCACUGAGCAAGGGCCCAGGCUGACCAAGUUCAGCACGAAUUAGGAGGCUCAGAGCGGUGCCUACUCUUCUGGCCCAGGUACCAAAUAGUGACCGGAUCGGGAGAUAGAGAAUGUUAUUCCUUGUCUAUUCUUUUCAAGUUCAGCUCAGGCUGAUACUAAAAUCCUCCCUGGGUGCGUCUGCGGGUGAAUAGAUAAAUGAAAGGUGGUCCAUCUUCCACAAUGGGUGAAAAGGAAUGAAGCACUUCCUCAAAAAACUCAAAACAGAACUGCCGUAGGAUGCCGCAGUUCCACUCCUGCGUAUCUAUCUGAAGAAAACGAACACACUAAUUUGAAAAGACACGUGUAUCCUGAAGUUCACAGCCACAGUAUUUACAAUGCCAGGAUAUGGACACGCCCUAAGUGUCCAUCCACAGAUGCUUGGAUAAGAUCUGGGUGCACAGACACACUCGACAUAAAGUAUUCCGCCACAAAAAGAUGAAAACUUGCCAUUUGCAGCAACAUGGGUAGAUGUAGAGGGUGGUUUGUUUAGUGAAGUAAGUCAGGCAGAGGAAGAUAAAUACUGUAUGCAAUCACUUACACAUGGAAUCUAAAAGUUAAAACAAAUCCGUGAACAUACAAACAAAACUGACUCAGAUAUAGAGAGCAAACUAGUGGUUAGCAGUGGGGAGAGGGAAGGGGGGGAGCAAGAUUAGGGGAGGGGAUUAGGAGACAGACUACCAUGGAUAAAAUGAGCCAUAAGGACAUAUUGUUCAGCACAGGGAAUAUAGCCAAUAUUUUAUAAUAACUACAAAAUGGAAUAUAAACUUUAAAACUGUGACUCACUAUGUUGUAUACCUGAAACAUAAAAUACGGUACAUCAGGUAUAUCUCAAUUUAAAAAAUGAUAUUCUAAGAGUUCCCACUGUGGCGCAGUGGAAACGAAUCCAACUAGGAACCAUGAGGUUGCGGGUUCGAUCCUCAGCCUUGCUCAUUGGGUUAAGGACCUGGCGUUGCCGUGAGCUGUGGUGUAGGUUGCAGAUGCAGCUCAAAUCCUGCGUUGCUAGGCCAGCAGCUGUAGCUCCAAUUCAACACCAAGCCCAGGAACCUCUAUAUGCCAUGAGUGCAGCCCUAAAAAGCAAAAAAAAAAAAUUAAUUUAAAAAUGACAUUCUAAUUGAGUCUACAGCAUAGACGAACACUGAAGACAUUAUGCUACGUAAAAGAGAACACCACAAAAGGCCAAAAGUGGAAUUUGUAAUUCCACUUAUAUGAAAUGCCCAGAAUAGGCAGAUCUGGAAAGAAGACUAGUGGUUUCCAAGGGCUGAGAGACAGAUUAACUCCUAUUGGGUGUGGGGUUUCUUUCGGGGGUGAUGAAAUGCUCUAGAAUGAGAUAGUGGUGAUGAUCACAUAGCUCUGAAUAUACUAAAACUUCUGAAUUGCACAUUAUUAAAAGCCACCAUAAAAGAGGUCCAGGUACGUACUGAGACACCAGGAAGAAGAUGCUUUGGUGAACACCCCCACCUGGCUGGUGUCCUCGGAUGUCUUGAUUCUAAGACAGAGGAGGUUGAGAAGACCCCCACCCAUGCCCGACAAACACCACACUCAUUAGAGUGGAAACUCUGUGAAUGGGUGGACUUGCCAGUUGAUCGCUGUUGAGACCCUGCUGCCUAGAACCCACCCCAUCACACACACGUUGCAGACACUCGGUGGAUACUUGCUGAAUCAACAAAUGAAUAGAUGAAUGAAACCGCACAUCUGGGGCCUGGAGUGUAUCCAGGGAAUGACCUCCAUGUGUCAGUUAGUUUGGGCUGCGGUGGGGCUGCCGAGUGUCCAGGUGACCGCACACGGUCACCCGCAGUAACUGAGGUCUGGCCGCAGACAAGCAGGCUGAGCCCAGGCUGUCCGUGUCUUUCCCUCUCUCACCACUAGAGGGCAGGUGCAUCCCAUGGAUUCCGCCAAAGGGGUCGGCUCGGCUCCCUCGCCAAAGGCACCUCAGGCAACCAGGCGGGAACAGACCAGAUCAGGGCUCUGCCAAGAUCCCUUCUAACUCAGAGGUGCCAGGUGGAGAAAGGCCUGUGGCCUCUCUCUGGUUGUGAAGGGUGAAACAGGAGCUCAGGUCCUCUGCUGCCUCUGCUGUGGGGAUCCCCAGAUUACGGGCUCCCAGCCUCUCUGUGUUCUGAACCAGGCCACCUUCUGGGGAGACAAGCUUGGGGGUGCGCCUUCCCGCACCCUCUCCCUGAAGUGAAGAGGCCAGGAAACUGCUGACAGGAAGAAGCAGAUCUGAGGAGUUGGGGGGGAAGGGAGUCUGGGGGUGGGGGGUUGCCCAAGGCUAUGUUUGGGAUAAAGGUCAGUCAUGGCCAGGCUGUCCUGGGGGCUUGGAAAUAUGCCUCAUCUCAGAUGAUCUUCAAGGUCCUUCAGGAGGUGGGAAUUAUUAUUCCAAGUUUGCCGAUGAAGAGACUGAGCGUCAGAGUGGUUAGCUUGCCCAAGACCCUAAAUUGCAUGCCUGGGAUUGGGGCCGCGACUUGGAUCCAUCUCCUGAUUCCCAGGGCACCACACAGGUACUUCCGGUGGCAUUUCCUCCUCUGUAGAGCUGGUGGCGGUGACUUCCACUGCCCUCCACCCUGCUCUCCGAGAGGCAAAUGAACCCGUUCCGCUCAGGCCAGACAUGGAAAGGAAAGAAGGCUGUAGGCCUGAGACAGCAUGCAAACCCCCUCCUUUCAAAGGCAUUUGUGAGGAUUUGUACGUUUCUAAGGCAGAUUCCAGGCCUUUUCCUUUUUUCCUGUCCUUCUCAGCCCCUCAUUUAUUUGGAUUCAAGGCAACAGCAGGGAACCGUGCUCCUUAGGGGACCAUGCUGAGUGCCUUGGGGAGUAGCAUCCUGGGGGGAGCAGCAUCCUAGGGGGAGCAGCAUCCUGGGGGGAGCAGCAUCGGUGGGAUGUGAGUUUUGGUAGCUCUGAGACCACCUCUAAGUCCCAGUGAGGCUCUGCAAGACCAGGGUCUCAGGCCCUCAAAGCCCAGGUUCCUUGGAAGAGAGGAUGGCUGGGCAUCUGGACCCAUGGUCUCACUCCUCUGCCGCUGCCCCUAGGGCUGGCAGCUGGGUCCCCAGGACACAGGGGGCAAUAGGGCUGCACAUCCCUGCCUGGCCCCUUCUGCCAGACACUCACCCUGGGCCAGACUGGAUGAAACAUUGGGGCGACGGGCCCCUCCCUCCCGAGUCACAGCCCCAUCUCUCUGCUGGCCGCGUAUGCUCUGACAUAAUCAUGCCUCCUACUCCUACUGCAAGGAACACUUUGCAGGUGGACGUUACUUUUUCCCAGGCACCCAAAUGCCCCAAAAGUUCUCCUCACUCCUGCCAUCGGGACACAGCACCAGGCUCCCUGAUUACUCAGAUACCCCGCCUCCUGGGGCUGCACCUCCCUCCCGAGCUAACAGUGAACGGAGUCCACUGCUGGGAGCAAAGGUGUGUUCAGGAUGGGGAAGUGCCUGGUAUCUAGUGGGGUGGGGACCUUCCUCCUCUGACCUCUUUAAGGGGAACAGGAGGACUCUGCCCCCAAGAGAGGCGAGGCGGGAGAGGAGGGGGACCGGUGGGAGCAGGUGGAAGGGGGCUGCAUGAAGGCGCAGCUGCAGCCACAGGGCCAGCAAUCCGGCCACACAGGGCUCAGCCCAUCCUCCUCACCCUUAGAGACUCUGGUGGUCCAGUGGGUCUGUGUCCUCCCCUGGAUGGGGCACUAGGAUGCCCCAUCAGGCCCUGCUGCCACGACCGAGCACAGGGGUCAGUGACAGCAAGGACCUGCCCAACCACUUGCCAGCUUUCUCCCUACGACGCACCUGUGCACAGUUAACACACACGACACAGACGGCAGGGGGUGGCACCUGCUGCACUUCCUACAGAGAGAGUCAGGAGCAAAGCGCUUGCAGUGAGUACAGAAAGACAUGAGCUGGGUCUCCAGGUCAUUCAGUAAAACUCGGUGACACCAUGGGCUUUAGGAAGAGGAGACCCAGGACUUGAGAUGCUGGCCUAAAGCCACAAAGUUUUUCCUUGUUCUAGGAUGCGAGCUCGGCUUUCCAGACACUGUCCAGUGGAAGAAUGAUUAUACUUUAAGGAUGCUGUAACCCUGUGUUUUUCAAACUGUUGGUAAAGACCUCUAGAGAGCCAUGAAAGCAAUUUAGUGGGAUGCUUAAUUUUUAAAAUAAAAUCAGAACAGAAAGAAAUCAAAUAGAAUAGAAUUAGAAGUCAAUAAAGUUUAAUUUCCCCAAAUAUUUGUUUCAUGUGUGUAUAUGUCUUUUUAUACACACAUGUGUGCGUGUGUGUAUUCACUGCAUAUGAGGUAAAAUUUUUUUUUUUUUCGUACGGGUUGGCAUCAAAGAAAGUUUAACAUUUACUGGUUUAUGUUCCCGCUGUGGGGCAGCAGGUUAAGGAUCUGGCAUUGUCUCUAAGGUGGUGUGGGUUUGAACACCGGCCUGGUGCAGUGGGUUAAGGAUUCAGUGUUGCCACAGUGGCUCAGAUUCGAUCCCUGGCCCAGGACCUUCGGUAUGCCACAGGUGCAGACAUUAAAAAAGUAAUAAUAGAAGUUCCCAUCGUGGCUCAGUGGUU